GGCUCCAUAGUGUAGUGGUUAGUACAUCUGCUUUGCACGCAGAAAGUCGUGGAUUUGUGCCCCAGGUGGAGCCA
rfam:Pteropus alecto contig9145, whole genome shotgun sequence.